CUGCCCGCUUCUUCUGUUAGACAAAAAGAUAUUUGAACUGUCUCACACCUAGAUUGUCUCACCACCAAACCUCACCAAAAUCACUUCACCGCAGCCCACCAUACGGAGGACGUCGGCAUGACCACUGCCACCGCCGGAAAUCACCAUCGCCAUAGCCGUAGAUCACAGGAUUGGCAUUGUUGGAAUUCCGUGCAAGAGUGGAUUAUGAUCCAUAUGGCGCCUUUUCAAAUUGGAAUCCCAAUGAUGACGACCCAUGUAUGUUGUUCGGUGUUCAUUGUGUUGAUGGUGAAGUGCAAUAUCUGGAUGUCAAUGGACCUUCCUUUGCAGGGGAACUUGCCCCAGACCUUGGGAAGCUUUCUCACCUAAGAUCUCUUUUUAGCUGGUUUCAUGAAGAAUCAACUGGGUGGCAAACUAUUUUGACCUUCUAGUUCAAUCUUCCUAAGCUGAUGAUGCAUCCUAGAUGUUGAUGUUGUUGAAAUUUGGAAGUUGGACUUGGUGAAGAAUCAACUGAUUUCAAACAAUUGUAGUUUAUGGUUGAAACUCCAUAUUGGGUCUCCCUCAGGCUUAAAUUUGAUGACCUUUUCUGCUCUCUCUGGUGUUUCUUUCAACCUUUCAAGGCUCUUUUUGAGGUUAUGUAUGUGGAUUCUAGUUAAGAUGUCUUUGAAUUAUAAGUACUCUGCCUCUAAGCAGAAAAUGGGAACCAAUUUCAAGCUGAAGAAGGCAAAGGAAUCUUUGCAUGGAUCUAAUAGAGUCUGGAAGUGGAGUAGACAUCUUCUGUUUCUGUGGCUUUUUGGUGUUUUCAUUGGGUUUAUUAGGUUCUUCUAUGGUUUGAAUGAUGGGGCUUUGAGGACGAAGGAGGAGACUCUAGACUUGUGUCAACAAAACAAAGCUAGGAUUUUGCUAGAACAUUUCAAUGUCAGCAAGGACCAACUUCAUGAAUCAGAUCAGGUGCUGUCUUUAUAUCUAUCUUAGAGAUUUGCUUCUUAAAUGGCUCCACUCUUUCUGGUUGCAGUUUUAAGUAACUUUUGUUGGUAAUAACUGUUUAUGUCGAUUAAUACUUGAGUUGGUUAGCAAGUUUUAGUGAUCAAAGAAAGGGAUACAGAAUAGGAUUACAGUUGUUUCUUGCUACAUCUUUGACAGGAUUAUAUUUGCUUAGUUCUAUAUUUGUGACAAAUGGUGGUCGCCUCGUCAGAAUUUUGCUACUGUGGAUUCUGAGUGCUUAUUAAAAUGCUAUUAUUUUUCUUUUUGAGACGUUAUUAAAAGUCUUCUAUGUGCAGUAUUAUUUGGUAGGAAAUGCUUCUUGUAUGCUAAAGCUUCUAUAGAAAGGACAAAAGUAAAAUCCACUAAAACAGUGAAAUUACCUUCAAAUGCUAUAUGGAAUUAAUGGGU